rnacentral:rRNA from 1 species
AUACGGAGGGUGCAAGCGUUACUCGGAAUCACUGGGCGUAAAGCGCGCGCAGGCGGUCUUUUAAGUUGGAUGUGAAAGCCUACGGCUCAACCGUAGAACUGCAUCCAAAACUAUUAGACUAGAGUGUGGGAGAGGAAGAUGGAAUUAGUUGUGUAGGGGUAAAAUCCGUAGAGAUAUCUAGGAAUACCAAAAGCGAAGGCAAUCUUCUGGAACACUACUGACGCUGAGGCGCGAAAGCGUGGGGAGCAAACAGGAUUAGAAACCCUAGUAGUCC